rnacentral:lncRNA from 1 species
GUUAGAGUGGAGGGGUGGCAGGUAGCCUAGUGGUUAGAGUGGAGGGGCGGCAGGUAGCCUAGUGGUUAGAGGUGGAGGGGUGGCAGGUAGCCUAGUGGUUAGAGUGGAGGGGCGGCAGGUAGCCUAGUGGUUAGAGUGGAGGGGCGGCAGGUAGCCUAGUGGUUAGAGUGUAGAGGCGGCAGGUAGCCUAGUGGUUAGAGUGGAGGGGAGGCAGGUAGCCUAGUGGUUAGAGUGUAGAGGCGGCAGGUAGCCUAGUGGUUAGAGUGGAGAGGCGGCAGGUAGCCUAGUGGUUAGAGUGGAGGGGCGGCAGGUAGCCUAGUGGUUAGAGUGGAGGGACGGCAGGAAGCCUAGUGGUUAGAGUGUAGAGGCGGCAGGUAGCCUAGUGGUUAGAGUGGAGAGGCGGCAGGUAGCCUAGUGGUUAGAGUGGAGGGACGGCAGGUAGCCUAGUGGUUAGAGUGUAGAGGUGGCAGGUAGCCUAGUGGUUAGAGUGUAGAGGUGGCAGGUAGUCUAGUGGUUAGAGUGUAGAGGCGGCAGGUAGUCUAGUGGUUCGAGUGUAGAGGCGGCAGGUAGCCAAAUGGUUAGAGUGUUGAGCCAGUACUUGAAAGGUUGCUGGAUCGAAUCCCC